rnacentral:rRNA from 1 species
GGAUUAGAUACCCUGGUAGUCCACGCAGUAAACGAUGAAUGCUAGUUGUCGGGAUCUUGGACUUCGGUGGCGAAGUUAACACGAUAAGCAUUCCGCCUGGGGACUACGGUCGCAAGACUAAAACUCAAAGGAAUUGACGGGGACCCGCACAAGCAGUGGAGCAUGUGGUUUAAUUCGAUGUUACGCGAAAAACCUUACCAGCUCUUGCAUCCGGGUGACCGGUACAGAGAUGUACUUUUGGAGCAAUCCACACCCAUGACAGGUGUUGCAUGGCUGUCGUCAGCUCGUGCCG